rnacentral:tRNA from 1 species
GGGCAUAUAGCUCAGUGGUAGAGUGCAUUUAGCGUGCACGAGGUCCUGGGUUCAAUCCCCAGUACCUCCA